rnacentral:misc_RNA from 1 species
CCCUCCCCUAAAUCACUCCAAAAAAACAAUCCCCAAUUCUACACAAGUGUUUCUACACUAACAAAGCAACAGCUCCUUAACGAAUUCCCAACUUUACACGAGCUCGUCUCUCGAGGUUAAAUGUUAUUACUUGGUAAGAUUCCGGACCUCGCCAAGUGUUUUGAAAACCCGCAACGCUCGCAAAGGUGCAUAGUGAGAAUAAUAAGUGAAGAGACAGACUUGUCCAAAACGCCCACCACGAAGGUGCAUAGUGAGAAGAGUAAGUCAAGAGAUAGACUUGUCCAAAAAGAAACGGAAGAGAAAGCUUGGGGAGACGCUCACGAAGGUGCAUAGUGAGAAGAGUAAGUCAAGAGAUAGACUUGUUCAAAAAGAAACAGAAGAGAAUGCUUGGGGUUACACUCACGAAGGUGCAUAGGAGAAGAGUAAGUCAAGAGACAGACUUGUUCAAAAAGAAACAAAAGAGAAUGCUUGGGGAGAUAGAAGUGUGAGAUAGUUCUCAAGCUAAGAAAGUUGUAAAAGCUAAGAACUAGCAAGUAAUCGUCCAGGAUUCCUCCACCAGGACUUGAAAUCGUCGAGGGAAAAAAAUCGGUUCCGAGGAAUCGUCGAUCCGGACUUGGAAUCGUCGAGAAAAGUUUACCGGGUCCGAGGAUUUGUCGACCAGGAGUGGAAAUCGUCGAGAAAAAUCUAUCGGGUCCGAGGAAUCGUCGACCAGGACGAGGAAUCGUCGACAGGGUCCGAGGAUUUGUCGACCAGGGGUUGAAAUCGUCGACCAGGUCCGAGACUUCAUCGAC